CAAUGUCCCAGUCCCUGGAGAGGUCUCACCUCUCACAGAGAUGCACUCAGAGCCUAUCAGCUGAAUCCGCAGCCAUGAGCUUUGUCUUCCUGAGCUUUCCUCAGAGCUGCUCCAUAUGCCUUCAAUCCACGAAAGAAGCGGCUCCUGCUUAGAGAGACGCCUGUGCCCACCUGGGACUUGGCUGAAGCAGAAGGAAAGGGAGCCACGUUGGGUGGACUCGGCCCACCCUGUAGUUGAAUUACCUACUGCAGAAAAACGUGCGCAACUCCUCCAGUCCGGAAAUGCCUCAAAUGACCCACGGAGAGGAAGACACAGCGAGAAGUUGGUAGUCUGCAACCCAGAAGAGGGCCUCACCUGACCAUGCUGGUACCCUGAUCUCAGACUUCCAGCCUCCAGACUGUGAGAAAUAAAUUUCUCUUGUU